AUGUACCUUUGUGUGGAGAUUGGUCACCGAUCCUUUGCCCACUGGGUUAUAAAACACUCCAAAAACAAGGAAGUCACUAAUGUAUGCCCAAUUUGUGGUACUGAGCCGGAAUGCUCCUUCCACGCCUUAUGCAAAUGCCCUCAUGGUAAGUCCUUAUGGAGAGCUAUGUCGGAAGUUUGGAGAUUGCGAAGACUUGAUCUUAUGCAAAAUAUAGGCCCUGAGUGGCUUUUCAUAUACUCAUGUGAUCUUGCCGAGGUGGACCGCAUUAUGAUGUACAUGACGUUGUGGCACAUUUGGCACUGCCAAAAUGAGAUUGUCCACGGCGAGACUCCUCCGCCCAUUGAAGCAUCACAAAGAUUUUUUAUCAGUUAUCUGGACUCUAUUCUUGGUAUUGUCGAAGGGCCUCUAUUCUUGGUAUUGCGCAACACUCGGAGAAGGAUGUGGUGA
rnacentral:rRNA from 1 species